GUCGCCAUUUCAACGGUUCAUUGGAAAAAUUGGAAGUUCGUUACAACCAUAUUGGCGAUUUAAUUUUUAUUUUUACAUUUGCAAUUGCCUUUUUCAUUAAAAUUAUAGUAAUGAAAAAGGAAUAAACGUGACAUUUUAUUAAAAAUAAAUAUGUUUUCGACAAGUCAGUUUUACUUAUGUAUAUUUUUAGCGCUUCUUAUAAAGAAUUUAAGUGUUCAUGGCGUUAUUAAGGAAAUAAAACAUGACAAGCUCCAUGAAAACAAAAUUUAUUUAAAAGAAUUCAACAGGAAAGUGCGUCACGUUGAAGCGAUAACAGAGAAUUCGUUGAUGCAUAUUCUCAAAGUUAUCGAACGUAACUACCCGGAUUUAAAGAAGCAAAGUAAGAGAAAAAAUUUUAGCAAAUUUCUGAAUAAGUUAAAAUUGAAACUGCGACAUUAUUUAAAGAAACGAAUGCGAUUACAAAGAAGAAAUAUGAGGAAUUAACCUUUUCAGUUCAGAAGAAUAAUUGACGAUUGAUAUACAUACAAAAGAAUAUUUUAACUUUGUUAACAAUGUCGUUUCAGUUUUCUGUACCUUUUAUAUUGUAUUUGAUUAUUAGUUGUCGUUAAUAAAAAUCAUAGUCAGUGAGUCGGCUCAAUACAGUCAGAUAAAAUGUAGAA